UACGGGGGGGCAAGCGGUUGUUCGGAAUUACUGGGCGUAAAGGGCUUGGUAGGUGGCCAACUAAGUCAGACGUGAAAUCCCACGGACCUUAACCGAGGAACUGCGUCUGAUACUGGAUGGCUUGAGUGUGGGAGAGGGAUGCGGAAUUCCAGGUGUAGCGGUGAAAUGCGUAGAGAUCCGGAGGAACACCGACGGCGUAGGCAGCGCCCUGGACGACACCUGACGCUGAGGCACGAAAGCUGGGGAGCGAACAGG
rnacentral:rRNA from 1 species